rnacentral:lncRNA from 1 species
UCCAUCCCAGUAUAUCCCAGUCCACCCCAGUGCAUCCCAGUGCCACUAUCCCAGUGUAUCCCAGUAUAUCCCAGUAUAUCCCAGCCCAUCCCAGCAUAUCCCAUUGCCACCCUCCCAGCAUAUCCCAGUGCCUCUGUUCCAGUAUAUCCCAUUGCCUCCAUCCCAGUAUAUCCCAGUGUAUCCCAGUACCACCCUCCCAGUAUAUUGCAGUGUAUACCAGUAUAUCUCAUUGCCACCAUCCCAGUAUAUCCCAGUACAUCCCAGUCCAUCCCAGUCCAUCCCAGUCCAUCCCAGUCCAUCCCAGUCCAUCCCAGUCCAUCCCAGUCCAUCCCAGUACAUCCCAGUAUCACCAUCCCAGUAUAUCCCAGUGUAUCCCAGUACCUCCUUCCUAGUGUAUCCCAUUGCCACCACCCCAGUGUAUCCCAGUGUAUCCCAGUACCACUCUCCCAGUAUAUCCUAUUGCCACCACCCCAGUAUAUCCCAGUAU